rnacentral:rRNA from 1 species
UACGGAGGGUGCGAGCGUUGUCCGGAAUCACUGGGCGUAAAGGGCGCGUAGGUGGCUUCUCAGCCGCGCGGUGAAAGCCCGGGCUCAACCCGGGUCGGCCGUGCGGGACUGGGAGGCUCGAGCACUGUAGGGCGGGUGGGAAAUUUCCGGGUGUAGCGGUGGGAAAUGCGUAGAGAUCCGGAAGAACACCGGUGGCGAAGGCGGCCGCUGGCAGGAAGACGGCAACCGUCGGCUGGACAACUGAGGCGCGACAGCG